CCAAUAGCGUAUAUUAAAGUUGUUGCAGUUAAAAAGCUCGUAGUUGAACCUUAGGCCCGUGCGGGCGGUCCGUCCUCUGGGCGAGCACUGCCUCGUCGCGGGUCUCACCUUCUGGCGAGCGUGGAUGCCAUUCAUUUGGUGUCUGCGGGAACCAGGACCUUUACCUUGAAAAAAUUAGAGUGCUCAAAGCGGGCUCUUACGCUUGAAUACAUUAGCAUGGAAUAAUGAAAUAGGACGACGGUUCUAUUUUGUUGGUUUCCGGGAUUGUCGUAAUGAUUAAUAGGGAUAGUUGGGGGCAUUCGUAUUCAAUUGUCAGAGGUGAAAUUCUUGGAUUUAUUGAAGACGGACUACUGCGAAAGCAUUUGCCAAGGAUGUUUUCAUUAAUCAAGAACGAAAGUUGGGGGAUCGAAGACGAUCAGAUACCGUCGUAGUCUCAACCAUAAACUAUGCCGACUGGGAAUCGGGCGAUGUUAUUUUUCGUGACUCGCUCGGCGCCCCGAG
rnacentral:rRNA from 1 species